rnacentral:rRNA from 1 species
CGGCGUGGAUUAGGCAUGCAAGUCGAACGCUCGGCGGCCUGUAGCAAUACAGGCCGCCGGGAGUGGCGGAAGGGCGAGGAGCGCGUGGACAACCUGUCCACCGGGUGGGGAUAACCCCGUGAAAACGGAGCUAAUACCGAAUGCGACGCGGAGGCACAUGCCUCCGACGUUAAAGGCUGGGACCGCAAGGCCAGCCCCCGGAGGAAGGGUCCGCGUACCAUCAGCUAGUUGGCGGGGUAACGGCCCACCAAGGCUUACGGUUAGCUGGUCUGAGAGGACGACCAGCCGCACUGGGACUGAGAUACUGCCCAGACUCCUACGGGAGGCUGCAGUCGAGGAUCAUUCGCAAUGGGGGCAACCCUGACGAUGCGACGCUGCGUGGAGGACGACGGCCUUCGGGUUGUAAACUCCUGUCAUGAGGGAAGAGGGGGAGGGCGAGUAAUACUCGCGCCGACUUGACGGUACCUCAAGAGGAAGCCACGGCUAACUCUGUGCCAGCAGCCGCGGUAAUACAGAGGUGGCGAGCGUUGUUCGGAUUUACUGGGCGUAAAGGGCGCGUAGGCGGCCGUGUGGGGGGGGGGGUGGUGAAAUCUCCGGGCUCAACCCGGAAAGUGCGCCCCAAACUGCACGGCUCGAGUC